rnacentral:rRNA from 1 species
UACAGAGGUCCCAAGCGUUGUUCGGAUUCACUGGGCGUAAAGGGUGCGUAGGUGGUGAGGUAAGUCGGAUGUGAAAGCUCCGAGCUCAACUCGGAAAUGGCAUUGGAAACUACCUUGCUAGAGGGUUUGAGGGGGGACCGGAAUACUUGGUGUAGCAGUGAAAUGCGUAGAUAUCAAGUAGAACACCAGUGGCGAAGGCGAGUCCCUGGAAAACUCCUGACACUGAGGCACGAAAGCUAGGGGAGCAAACAGG